GGUCACUGCUAUUGGGAUUCGACUAAGCCAUGCGAGUCGAGAGGGUUCGGCCCUCGGCAGACUGCUCAGUAACACGUGGAUUAUCUGCCCUUAGGUGGAGGAUAACCUUGGGAAACUGAGAAUAAUACUCCAUAGAUCUAAGAUGCUGGAAUGCACUUAGAUUAAAAGCUCCGGCGCCUAAGGAUGAGUCUGCGGACUAUCAGGUUGUAGUCAGGGUAAGGACCCGACUAGCCUACAACGGAUACGGGUUGUGAGAGCAAUAACCCGGAGACGAUAUCUGAGACACGAUACCGGGCCCUACGGGGCGCAGCAGGCGCGAAACCUUCACAAUGUGCGAAAGCGCGAUGAGGGGAUCCCAAGUGCUUGCACUUAAGUGUAAGCUGUUUCUUUGUUUAAAACGCAGAGAGAGGAAGGGCUGGGUAAGACGGGUGCCAGCCGCCGCGGUAAUACCUGCAGCUCAAGUGGUGACCGCUAUUAUUGGGCCUAAAACGUUCGUAGCCGGCUGAGUAAAUGCUUGGGUAAAUCGUGCCGCUUAACGGUACGAAUUCCGGGUAGACUGCUCAGCUUGAGACCGGGAGAAGCUAGAGGUACUCCUGGGGUAGAGGUGAAAUUCUGUAAUCCUGGGGGGACCACCAGUGGCGAAGGCGUCUAGCUAGAACGGGUCUGACGGUGAGGGACGAAACCCUGGGGCGCAAACCGGAUUAGAUACCCGGGUAGUCCAGGGCGCAAACGCUGCUUGCUUGAUGUUAGCUGGGCUCCGGGCUCAGCUAGUGUCGGAGAGAAGUUGUUAAGCAAGCUGCCUGGGAAGUACGAUCGCAAGAUUGAAACUUAAAGGAAUUGGCGGGGGAGCACAGCAACGGGUGGAGCGUGCGGUUU
rnacentral:rRNA from 1 species